AAGGAUCUUUAUUUCUGAGCUAGUGAAGCAGAUGUAAUCAAGGGAGAGUGAAAUAAUCAUAAUGGGAGGAAAGGGGGAGGGGAGACAGGCCUAGGACGGAGCUGGGAAUUGGGGGGUAGGGAACUUGGAGUGGGGGCAGCUCCCUACUUUGGAAUGAAGGGGCACUGUCUCAAGACUCUGACACCUUAACCCUCAGAAUCCCUCCUUGGGCUUACGGAUGCCUGGGCCAGAAGGUGGCUGGGAAGACAGGGGAAGGCCCCCCUACUCCUUGAAGGAAGAAUUGAGGGAGGAGGGCAAGAGAUACGAGCCAGCCAGCCGACAGAGACUCAAGUGGCCUCCAGGCUGGCCUGGAGGAACAAUAGUGUCCUUUAGCCCUUUCUUCCUCCAUGGGUUAGAAAGGGUAGCAGAAAACAGUGUGGAGAUGGCGAAGACACCCCUCGCCCAAGGGACAGCAGCAAGAGAAAGAAAGAGGCGAGCGGAAUUCCUGAAUGGAUAG
rnacentral:lncRNA from 1 species